rnacentral:rRNA from 1 species
AGUGAACGCUGGCGGUAGGCCUAACACAUGCAAGUCGAACGGCAGCACAGAGGAGCUUGCUCCUUGGGUGGCGAGCGGCGGACGGGUGAGGAAUACAUCGGAAUCUACUCUGUCGUGAGGGAUAACGUAGGGAAACUUACGCUAAUACCGCAUACGACCUACGGGUGAAAGCAGGGGACCUUCGGGCCUUGCGCGAUUGAAUGAGCCGAUGUCGGAUUAGCUAGUUGGCGGGGUAAAGGCCCACCAAGGCGACGAUCCGUAGCUGGUCUGAGAGGAUGAUCAGCCACACUGGAACUGAGACACGGUCCAGACUCCUACGGGAGGCAGCAGUGGGGAAUAUUGGACAAAGGGCGCAAGCCUGAUCCAGCCAUACCGCGUGGGUGAAGAAGGCCUUCGGGUUGUAAAGCCCUUUUGUUGGGAAAGAAAUCCAGCUGGCUAAUACCCGGUUGGGAUGACGGUACUCAAAGAAUAAGCACCGGCUAACUUCGUGCCAGCCGCCGCGGUAA